CAGCAAAGUGUUGUUAGGAAUGGUCGACCUCUUGUUUGUCGAGUGUGGAAGCUAAAUUUUUCAUAGUUCCACGUUAAGAUUAGGUGUUUGGUGCAUCUCCAUCCAUCGAUUUCAAAAGGCAGCAUGAUUUGUGAGACCGCAAAGCAACUCAGUGUGGCGAGGUGGUGGAAAAAAUCAGGGGUAAAACCCAAUAUAUGUGGAGAGCGAGGAAGACAUAUGUGUUGUCAUAUACUCCAUCCGAUAAUAAAUUCUUGUCAUUGAAAACAGUCCGCUGGAUACAUUGGAGAUGAAAACAUCCAACGAGAGAGGAGAGUCACAGAGCACAUGGUGGUCGCCUGAGAGAAAGUUAGUAGGGAGGAAGCCAGCAGGGGGGACGUGUUGGUAUUCCCACGACACGACUGUCUGGACCACACCUAAGCACCUAGCUUUGUGCUCAUCGCGCAUGUUUUUGAAAUAUAACUAGCAAUUGAUCAACGCAUCUAAACAUAUAUUAUUUGUAGGUCCGUAGCAAAGCACGGGCUUCUUGCUAGUAGGUCUAAUGCCGCACUUUCUCUUGCUAUAUUUUUCUUAAAUCUGAGUAACGUUUUGUGGCAGAGCAUGCUAAUAAUAUCAACUUUAGAACCUGCUGAGUAGUACCUCGCUAACAAUGCUGUCAUAUUCUUCUCUUGCCACUCAAAGAAAGGUGCAUCUCUUACGAGCGCUAACUUCACCACCUCACCUAUGCCUGAAACCAGCUCCCUGUCAGGCAAUGUAUUCAGUGUUUCUGUGUCUAUCAGUACGCACUGUGGCUGGUAGAAUGUCCCGAUUAAGUUCUUUCCCAGUGGAUGGUUAAUGGCCGUCUUCCCUCCAACAGACGAAUCCAUCUAAAAGCAAUUCAUACAACGACCCACAUUAGAAACCAAAUCAGAUGUCCUCAGAACUCUAUUAAUCUUAAUCGAGCUUAGUGUAUACGUACCUGGGCCAUCAGAGACGUUGGUAUCUGUAUGAAAUUGACGCCACGGAGGAACGCAGAAGCCGCAAGCCCACACAUGUCCCCGAUGACACCACCCCCUAGCGCGACAAACGUGCACCUGCGGUCCAGCCGAGCCUCCACCGCCUUGUGAAAAACCUUCAUCAGCGUGUCCUGCACAUUGAUUAUUACAACAAGUUACACUAAUUACAUCCAAAUGAACUGAAGCACGAGCAGAAGGCUGGAUCCCGCACGCACCAUGACCUUGUACUUCUCUCCGUCAGGCAGGAUCACGCUCUCCACUGAAACAUUCGGGUUGUCGUGCGUGAGUGCCCAGGUCACUUUCUCCAGGUAGAGCGGCGCGACGGUGGUGUUGGUAACCACCAGAAGCCUCUUCCCGAUCACAUGCCUGGGCGGAUUAAAACACUAGGAUCACGAAAUGACCAACACGCGCGGAGUCACCAAUGGAGCAAAAUCAAAGAUCAUGAUGAUCCUGAGUACCUCUGCAGCAGGUCGGGCUCGUCCAGGAGGCCGGGGCCGAUGUAGAUCGGGUAGCUCCGGUCGCCGAGAUCGACGUCGACCACCGUGGAGACGCGGGACUCCACCGGCGGCUGCAUCGCGGGAGCAGCGGCAGAGACGAGACGGCUCCGGAGGGACGUCGCGGGGGAAUUAGCGCGGAGCAGAUGAGGGCAGGAGGAGCGAGACGGCGAGGGGGUGGAGAUAGCCACGCAGGAGGCGGAGGCAGCGGCGAGGAAGGAAGAGGCGGUCGCCGCCAUGGGCAACGAAACGGAGAGGGCGGCGGCGGCGGAGGAUGUUCGGCAGUGGUACGUUGUGCCUCGUACUGCGCUUUUUUUUCUCUUGAGCUGGAGAGAUCCCGUUACUUAAACUGUGCCAAGCAGAUCGCCGGCAACGAUGUCCUGUACAAGAUAGAAUCCGGCCAUGCUGCUUGGGACGGAUUGAACAGUUCGCAUCGGCUACCGGUAUGGCACGCAAUGGGGACGAUGUAGAUUGUCGUCUUUUUGAUAAUGAGAUUUUGAAGAUAGCUUACCACGUUUACCGCGUGGUGGAUGUCACGUAGAUGUCGUCUUUAUGAACGCUGAGAGAUAAAGUCUGCAAUCAACAUCCGAUCUCGAAAGUUGCACUCCACCCCCACCUGGCGCUCGUAAAGUUUCAUGCUCGCUAAAGUUAUGUCAAGAUCAUUCGGUUCCUUGUUGUUUGUGUUCGAAACACAGAAGUUCCCCUGCAUUUCAUCAUCGAGCUCAGGUAGCUGCACUGCUAGCUGUGCCAUGCUGGGCUUCAUAGAGUCAGCAAGGCUUUUCAAGUCUGAACACUUGAGGCUUGCAACAAGCAACACAAUACAGCCCAGUCCAAGAUAAAAAUGAAGAACUGUCGGACAAGUAAAGGGACUGAACUGUACACUUGUUAUGCUCCUCAAGAUCGACACAAUCAUCACACGAUUUCUGAAUUUCGAUAGCAUGCAGCAAGCCAGCGACAGAUCAGUGUGUGGUAAAAGAAACAGUAUAUAUACACUUGUUAUUGAACAGCUAGGACACACAUAUUGUACACUUUGUCAUGCAACAACACUAUCUUUAUAAUAUCUUAUAAGCUUUAUUACAAUAGAAGUAAAGCCGUCAGGAAUCGCUAACGGCGAUAUACUAGAAACAAACUCCGUUAUUCAAAACAACUGAUCAAAAUUGAUCAGCUACGGAGAUGCCCUACAAGCCCCUAACCAGAUUCCGUUAUUUUCGACAAAAAGAAUAACAACAAGGAUAUCAUACAAUGCACACUGUUUCUGAUAAGAUAUGAUAUUACAGCCUAUUUAGUAUACAAAAGUGCUGAAGAUCCAACUGAGAAGGAUCAGUUAUCGCAGAAUGCACGGAGGGUUUCAUCAAGGGCUUUUCUGUCAUAAUCGCCAGUAAAAACACAGCCUCCCAGAGGUCCUUUCAGAAGGAUGAGCCUCAGCAAACCAUCAGCAACCUUCUUGUCGACCUGAUAUGUGUCAUUGCGAAAAUCAGGUAAGACUGCUCUUUUUUUUGUACGAGUUUUUUUUGUACGAGGUAAGAAUGCUCUUCGAUACUAAAGCGACAACUUAAGAUGUCAAGACGUAUAUGUCUGCUAGAGCGAUGCAUGCAAAAUAAUAAAUAAAAAGAAGACAACAGUUUGAACUUCUGCCAUUAUUAAGAUACUUACAGCCAUAAUCUUUUUGAACUUCUCCACUGUCAUGCCCUUUGGUGGUGCAACAGGAAGCUUGGCUUGCUCUAGUAUGUCAAAUAUCCGUCUUUUGAGGGGCUCAUCUAUCCAGCCCAGCCGGUAAGACAUGUCGGCUGCCAUAACCUAUGGAAGUGGCAUCCCGGAAACAGAAGAAGAUGGUAAGAAAACGAGAUAAAAAAUCAUGAUUAAGUGGUUAUACCAAAAUAUUCAUGUGAUCUUACUGUUCCAGCUGCAACAGCCUCCCCGUGGAGCCACUCUCCAUAGCCAAGCCCUGUUUCUAUAGCCUAGCAAUUAAAAUGAAACGAUCAGUGGGUAACAGGGAUGCUCCACAAAACAGAAGGUUGCUACCAAAUUCCCAUAAAAGCUAGUGAAUUAAGGUUGUUUAGUUUCUGGUACAACGGUGCCCAAAUUGUAUAUCAAAAUUCAUGCAAUCUUAGAGUGAUUCUAAAUCUGUAGCAACAAACAAAUUCCAGCCUGGGUGUCAAGAUUUCUCAAUUUUGUCUUAUAGUUGCAUGUAUGUGGAGGCACAAAUGAGAAACACGGAAAAGCAUCAUGAAAAAUGAAUUCAGGAUUUAAGGUACUAAAGAAAUUCGAAUUGUGUUUGCAGAACAGAUGUACGCCCUCCGUCCCAUAAUUCUUGUCGAAAUAUUACAUGUAUCUAGACACCUUUUUAAAAAUAGAUACAUCCAUUUUGGGGCAAAUUUGAGACAAGAAUUAUGGGACGGAGGGAGUAGCAUAUAGACCAAGGAGAAAGUGUGUUAAACAAGCAUCAAGAAAAAUAUCUUCAGUAACACAACUUUGUUUCAGAUGUAAACCGCCAAAGGCCUAUUGAAUAUUUUCUAAAUAGAAUUUUGUUGCUACCCCCAUCAAGCACCCAACAAAGGAAAUACUUACAGAUCACAUUGAAUGACUUAAGCAAAUAGACACGACUCUUUGUUGUUUUCUUUUCAAUUUUUAACAUGCGACAAAAAAAUAAGUACAGGAGUAGUCCCCACCAAAUGCUUCAAUGAAGCAGCAACAAAAAUACACUUACUGCAUGUUUAGCAAGUCAUCCGAGUAUAUUUAUGUUUGCACAUGAUAAUAGCAUUAUAAUAGAUUAAUUAGUUCAACAUAAAAACCAACAAUGAUCAAAGGUAACACAUACAUGACCAAAUGUAUGACCCAGGUUUAGUGUUGCUCGGAGACCACUUUCCUUCUCAUCCUGGGCAACCACUUCAGCUUUGUUUUCACACGAUCUCUUUAUAGCAUAGGUCAGGGCACUUGGUUCUCUACAAACAGGAAAUCCGAAUCAAGACGUAACAGAAACAUGACAAAAUACAUAAUUAAUGAGAAGAGGGAGAAAGCUAUUAUAUUUAUUUCAACAAAGAAAGGUCAAGAGUUGCGCUGCAGUGCUGCUAUUUACAGAAACAUGACAAAAUCACGCAGCUAUGAAUGACAUGUACAUCAGUAACAUUAUAAAUUAGCUGGGAUACAUAGUACAUUUUGUUACUCUGUUCUCUCAAACUAAGCAACAUAACAAUUCAUAUAAUGGAUUGAUAGCUAUUAAGAAAUUUAAAAUUUCCCCGAGAGUUGAAUAAGACCAUGUUAUUUAUAUCAUAACUUUACUCAACAAUUAAGCAUUUUGGCAAAUAUACCAAAAGGCCAUGCUUCAAACAACCAGGACAUUAAGAAGUUUUAUUCCAGUGAAGGGGUCACCAAGAUUCCUAUUAAUAGCUUAACUGUUGAGUAAAGUUAAAAAAUGGGCAUCCACGGACCGUGGCCAUACAGCAGAUCGCUACCGUAAUAAGUUAAACAGAAGUACUGCUAGCUACGGCCUAAGGUUCUAAUAAAACAAUAAAAAAAUAGAGUUGAGAACAUAUAGAGCUCCGGAUAUUUCAAACUGGAAAGGAGUGAGUAAACUUGACUAGGUAUACGUGUAUGGGCUAGAAGUCCAAAAGAAGGUAUACUGCACAGGUAAUUAGAAUCAUAACUCUCUCUUCUUUACAAAGUGAAUCCAUAACUCUUAAACCCUAGUACUCCCUUGGUUUGGGUUUAUAAGGCCCACACGGAAUUUUAUGCCAAACUUUGACCAAAAAAUGCAUUGGUAAUAUGAGAUUAUUGCGGCACAAAGAUAUAUUGUUGGAUUCGUAUUGAAAAACCCUUUCUAAUGGUAUAACUUUUAUAGACAUAUACCAAAUAUUUUUGAAUAAUUGUUGGUCAAAGUGUGGCACGAAUUUCAAUAGGAGCCUUAUAAACCCAAAUGGAGGGAGUAAUAACUAGCUUCCAACAGCUACCAUAGAUCUAAUGGCAUGCUUUCUCUUGCUAUAUUUUAUUAAAUCAGAGUAACAUUUCGUGGCAGAGCAUGCUAAUAUCAACUUAGAACCUGCUUAGCACCUUGCUAACAAUGCUGCCAUAUUCUUCUCUUGCCACUCAAAGAAAGGUGCAUCUCUUAUGAGCCCAUACUUCACCACCUCACCAAUGCCUGAAGCCAGCUCCCUGUCAGGCAGUGUAUUCAGUGUUUCUGUGUCUAUCAGUACGC
rnacentral:lncRNA from 1 species